CAGAGGAUUUUUUCCAGCCCUAUAUUUUAUAGGCGAUCGUCACAUGCUUGGGAUAUUAUACUUUGUGGGGUUUGCGUUGUUCUGUGCUGAGUCUAUGCUGAGCAUCUACGUUAUUCAGCAAGUAUUAAUGUACUUCCGUGGAAGCGGCAAGGCUGCGGAGGCUAGGCGUGAGGCCGCGAGGAGCACCGUCAUGGCGGCUCUAUGACAAACUCCAGGCACUUUCAGAACCAAAGACUUGCUGCUGAUUUCACCCUGCUUUCUUAAUCUUUCCUUUGGAUGCGUUCUCUUAGGCUUUGGAGUAGAAUUAAGUUUGACCAGCAUGAUUAAGGUAGAAAUUCUAGUGAUGCAUUUAAAUCAACCUUGUCUCAUCUCUCUAUUCAUCACGUGUUUCAUAGGUUAUUGUUUACCUUCAAUUUUUGUACUUGUACUAU